UAGUCGGCCCGAUUCUGGCUGAGUGCCGGCAGUGUCGGCCGAGGCCCGGAUCGGCUGAAGCACAGCAAACACAGUCGGCCCGAUCCUGGCUGAGUGCUGCCACUGUCGGCGGAGCUUCAAUCGGCUGAGGCACUGUACCCCCGUUGAAUGGGCCGACACUGACAUGCAGUAGUUGGGCUGGUUACUUUGUUUCUUACUUGGCCCGAUUGUGGUUUGACGGGCUACUGCCGAUGUUCGAAGCAAGUUCGGCUGAAGAACAACAAACACUGUCGGCCCGAUCCUGGCUGAGUGCUGCCACUGUCGGUGGAGUUUCAGUCGGCUGAGGCACUGUACCCCCGUUGACUGGGCCGACACUGACACGCAGUAGUUGGGCUGAAUACUUUGCAUCUUACUUGGCCCGAUUAUGGUUUGAUGGGCUACUGCCGGAGUUCGGCAGACGGAUCUCAUACAGCGUGUGGGCCGAUACUUACAGAACGGACACUGAUCAGUAGCAUUGAUGUUGGCGGCAAAAUUGAAAUAGUAAACGGCAGACGGAAACUAAACGUACAUGGCCCGAUUCUGUAAAGUGACUGUCGGCCCAUUACAUGUGGAAGAGCGGUGGAACAAAUAUUAACUGAAGAUUGAAACCAGAACGGCGCGAAACUGUCUCGUUUUGGACACUGUCUGUGGCAGCACGGACCAGAGACCUGCUUCUUUGGAUGAAGCUUAGUGGUGGCGUUGGAAGACAGGAGAUAUAUGCUUUGGGUUUGCGUCAUCCACUACGUCAGCAAAGAACAGGAUCGGGGAAUGACUACAUGGCCAACUGCAUCUCGUGGAAGUUGUUCUGAAGAUGCGAUGCGUGAAGGAAGGAAGUCCACAAGCAUGUGUGCUUCAGAACUCUUUGACCAACCCCCAACUGAGAGAGCUGAGCGAAGUGGCUAUCAGUAAGUCUAUUUGUGGGGACAGACUUACUCUGACAGAUGACAUCUUACAAACUAUGCUGUAGAUCUCAUAAUGAUCUUGCAAUAUGUAUUCUUUUAUAACUAAAUGCAGUUUGGAGAUAUUCCCCAGCUGCUAGUGAUGAUGCAACAUGUGUAGGCAAUAACUAAGCAGCAACAGAAAGAUAAGGCACUUUGUGUGUGUGUGUGUGUGUGUGUGUGUGUGUGUGUGUGUGUGUGUGUGUGUGUGUGUGUGUGUGUUUGUGUGUGGUAGCUGGCUAGGUUAUGGUACAUGGUAACCCACAGCCCACCCCGCUGACAUUGAAAUUACUCUUUUAGAGAGAGAGAGAGAGAGAGUGAUAGAGACAGAAUAUUUCUGUAAAUGUUUGACCAUGUUUAUUAUUUAAAAAAAAAACAUUAUUUAUAGAAUGUUCAUUUGUUUUACUUAAUCUGUUAAAUUGUGUAGAAUUGGUAAUAAAGUAACUUUUUAA